rnacentral:rRNA from 1 species
GACGAACGCUGGCGGCGUGCUUAAAACAUGCAAGUCGAACGGACUUCUCAUGAAGCUUGCGAUUGAGAAGUUAGUGGCGGACGGGUGAGUAACGCGUGGGCAACCUGCCCCUGAGCCCGGGAUAACAGUUCGAAAGGACUGCUAAGACCGGAUAUACUUGCGGUGAAGCAUUUCACUGGUAAGGAAAGGGAACGCUCAGGGAUGGGCCCGCGUCCCAUUAGCUAGUUGGUGAGGUAACGGCCCACCAAGGCGACGAUGGGUAGCCGGCCUGAGAGGGUGAACGGCCACACUGGGACUGAGACACGGCCCAGACUCCUACGGGAGGCAGCAGUUGGGAAUCUUCGGCAAUGGGCGCAAGCCUGACCGAGCAACGGCCGCGUGAGUGAUGAAGGUUUUCGGAUUGUAAAGCUACUGUCUUCCGGGACGAUAAUGACGGUACCGGAGGAGGAAGCCACGGCUAACUACGUGCCAGCAGCCGCGGUAAGCAUACUCGUA